rnacentral:rRNA from 1 species
UACGGAGGGUGCAAGCGUUACUCGGAAUCACUGGGCGUAAAGCGCGCGCAGGCGGCUAUUUAAGUUGGAUGUGAAAGCCUACGGCUCAACCGUAGAACUGCAUCCAAAACUAUUUAGCUAGAGUGUGGGAGAGGAAGAUGGAAUUAGUUGUGUAGGGGUAAAAUCCGUAGAGAUAACUAGGAAUACCAAAAGCGAAGGCAAUCUUCUGGAACACUACUGACGCUGAGGCGCGAAAGCGUGGGGAGCAAACAGGAUUAGAUACCCUGGUAGUCCACGCAGUAAACGAUGAAUGUUAGUCGUCGGGGGCCUAGUGUCUUCGGUGAUGCAGCUAACGCAUUAAACAUUCCGCCUGGGGAGUACGGUCGCAAGAUUAAAACUCAAAGGAAUAGACGGGGACCCGCACAAGUGGUGGAGCAUGUGGUUUAAUUCGAAGAUACGCGAAGAACCUUACCUAGCCUUGACAUAUUUUAGAACUCCGUAGAGAUACAGAGGUGCCUUCGGGAGCUAAUUUACAGGUGCUGCACGGCUGUCGUCAGCUCGUGUCGUGAGAUGUUGGGUUAAGUCCCGCAACGAGCGCAACCCUCGUCACUAGUUACUAACGGUUAGGCCGAGGACUCUAGUGAGACUGCCUUCGUAAGGAGGAGGAAGGUGAGGACGACGUCAAGUCAUCAUGGCCCUUACGGCUAGGGCAACACACGUGCUACAAUGGUUAGGACAAUGAGAAGCAAUAUCGCGAGGUGGAGCAAAUCUAUAAACCUAAUCUCAGUUCGGAUUGUAGUCUGCAACUCGACUACAUGAAGCUGGAAUCACUAGUAAUCGUAGAUCAGCUAUGCUACGGUGAAUACGUUCCCGGGUC